GUAGAUUCCUAUCUGGCAUAACAUUACAGGAUAUACCUUUUGGCCAGUCUUGUGCUAAGACCAUCUCUACAUUAGUUCUGCACUCAGACACACCAUCAAAAUGUGGGACAUUAGGAUGGAAAAAUAGGGAAUGUGGCCCAAAAUAUGGACCCUUGGGAGAUAUGGAUCCCUGUUAUAUACUUUAAAAAGGCUACUCAUACAGUGGUUAAGGUACUGUGAAUCUAU